rnacentral:misc_RNA from 1 species
AACGCACAUUGCGCUUCCUGGUAUUCCGGGGAGCAUGCCCGUUUCAGAAUCAAUAAAAAUCUCAUGCCCACUUGUUGGCUUUCCAGCUUUCAGUGGGGAUGGAUCUGGACUUUUGCUUUUUGCAAUUGUCUGAAAUCUAGUGUAUGUGCACCAACUGAUGCGUCUUUUGGUUGUCCAAGUGCAACAAGUGGUUUACCCAUUUCUCGCUUAGGCAGCUUUUCGACAAUCUUGGAGCAUUUGCUCAACUUUCAUUGCGAAGGUCCUAAUCGGUUUGAUUAUGGCCUUCAACAACUUGAUCUGAAAUCGGGCAGGAAAACCCGCUGAACUUAA